GGCCCCUUAGCUCAGUGGUUAGAGCAGUCGACUCAUAAUCGAUUGGUCCCCAGUUCAAAUCUGGGAGGGGCCACCA
rnacentral:tRNA from 1 species